rnacentral:lncRNA from 1 species
UUUGGUUGCUAUAUUCUGUAAAGUGAAUAUUUCUUACUUAAUUCAGACAAAUACAGAAUAUUUUUAAAUGCAUAUGUGAAUCAUCAUGAAUACUGCUAAUAUAUUACAGCAUUCUUCAAACAGAGUCAGAGCUAACUGGCUAUCUUUCCAUUUAACCUGCUACCAUUCUGAAGUUAUAUUCUUGUACAAGAACCUUUUUUUAAUGAAGUAGAAACUUAAAUCUUGUUAGUUUUUUUUUAUUUAUAUACAUUUUGUUAACAAAUUAUAAAUCUUAGCUAUCUGUAACAGAAUAUAAAUACAAAAACAAGUAUUUGUUUAUAGUCCAAUAUUGAUAUUUGGAAUAAAUAAACAAAAACAGAAGAUCAAAAUUCUCUUUCUAUUCUAUUGGUAUAUAUUUGUCCUGUUUGUCAAAAGUCAAGAUCAUACAUUACAUUUAGUUGUGGUUUUUUUUUAAACAAACGCAAAAACUGUAUUUCCUAACUCCUGAGAUUUCCACCCUUUUUAACCACAAUGUUUUAUGUGCAGUAAUUACAAAACAAGAAAUUUUCCUCCAUCCAAUCAUUAAAAAUACAGCUUUACUUUCAGGCAGUAUAACAAUGAUUGAUAAAAUAAUUAGCUGAUAUUUAAGGAAUGACUGUAAUAUUUUGAUCCGUCUAUGAAAAAAUAACAUAAAACAUG